rnacentral:rRNA from 1 species
GGCAGCUACCAUGCAGUCGAGGGGUAGAGUCAGCUUGCUGAUUUGAGACCGGCGCACGGGUGCGUAACGCGUAUGCAACCUACCUUUUACAGGGGAAUAGCCCGAAGAAAUUUGGAUUAAUGCCCCAUAGAUUAUUGACAAGGCAUCUUGUUAAUAUUAAAGUUUUGGCGGUAAGAGAUGGGCAUGCGUUCUAUUAGCUAGUUGGUAUGGUAACGGCAUACCAAGGCGACGAUAGAUAGGGGUCCUGAGAGGGAGAUCCCCCACACUGGUACUGAGACACGGACCAGACUCCUACGGGAGGCAGCAGUGAGGAAUAUUGGACAAUGGGCGGAAGCCUGAUCCAGCCAUGCCGCGUGCAGGAAGACGGCCUUAUGGGUUGUAAACUGCUUUUAUACAGGAAGAAUAAGGAGUACGUGUAUUUCGAUGACGGUACUGUAUGAAUAAGCAUCGGCUAACUCCGUGCCAGCAGCCGCGGUAAUACGGAGGAUGCGAGCGUUAUCCGGAAUCAUUGGGUUUAAAGGGUUCGUAGGCGGGCAUGUAAGUCAGAGGUGAAAUAACUGGGCUCAACCGAGUGGUUGCCUUUGAAACUGCAUGUCUUGAAUGUUUGUGAAGUGGCCGGAAUGUGUAGUGUAGCGGUGAAAUGCAUAGAUAUUACACAGAACACCAAUUGCGAAGGCAAGUCACUAACAAAUGAUUGACGCUGAUGGACGAAAGCGGGGGGGAGCGAACAGGAAUUAAAA